GAUGAACGCUGGCGGCGUGCCUAAUACAUGCAAGUCGAGCGAACGGACGAGAAGCUUGCUUUUCUGAUGUUAGCGGCGGACGGGUGAGUAACACGUGGAUAACCUACCUAUAAGACUGGGAUAACUUCGGGAAACCGGAGCUAAUACCGGAUAAUAUUUUGAGCCGCAUGGUUCAAAAGUGAAAGACGGUCCUGCUGUCACUUAUAGAUGGAUCCGCGCUGCAUUAGCUAGUUGGUAAGGUAACGGCUUACCAAGGCAACGAUGCAUAGCCGACCUGAGAGGGUGAUCGGCCACACUGGAACUGAGACACGGUCCAGACUCCUACGGGAGGCAGCAGUAGGGAAUCUUCCGCAAUGGGCGAAAGCCUGACGGAGCAACGCCGCGUGAGUGAUGAAGGUCUUCGGAUCGUAAAACUCUGUUAUUAGGGAAGAACAUAUGUGUAAGUAACUGUGCACAUCUUGACGGUACCUAAUCAGAAAGCCACGGCUAACUACGUG
rnacentral:rRNA from 1 species